GAGAGAGAGAGAGAGAGAGAGAGGAGUGAAGUUCUAUUAUUACGUUGAAAGGACCAACGCAUUUCUUGCUUCGAUUCCUUCUCUCCUCCUCCAUCGAAACCAUAUCGUCUGGGUUGUGUUGGUGGGUUCCUGUGCAAUGGCUGCUACCGCAACUGCUUCCUCAGCUGGUCCACGAUAUGCACCAGAGGACCCUACUCUCCCCAAACCUUGGAGAGGUUUAGUUGAUGGCAAAACUGGGUACCUUUAUUUUUGGAAUCCUGAGACUAAUGUCACUCAGUAUGAGAGGCCUACUGUCUCAGCUCAUCCAUCAAAGUCUUCUUCAGUGCCCAUAAGUUCAUCAGUUCAAGUUCAGCAAUCUUCUCGCUAUGGAUAUGGCCCUGUUAAAGAAGAUGAUAGGUAUGGCAGAGGCAAUAAUGCUGGAUCAAAAUUUGAUGCUGGAGCAAAGAGUGGCCAGGUUGCAAGAGGUGGAGCAGUUCAAUCUCAAAAUGUUCCAGGUGGAACAAGUAAUGGACCUUCUGGAUCUUCUGCUAGAGGACAUGGUUCUUCAGCUGGAGGGAGCAUUCUUUCUGCAGAGGCUUAUCGUCGUCGGCAUGAAAUUACUGUUACUGUGAGCUUAUAGAACUUUUUGCAGGACUUUCAUAUUGGUGCUUCUUACUCAUUUCACGUGUCGCUUACAUUUAGCUGUUUUGCUUGUGCAUAUAUGGGGCAUGAAUUAUGACCACUUAUUCAAUUAAUCUUUAGAAUUAAAGAAUUCACUAAAAGGGAAACAGUGCAAUCUAAACAUAAAAUAAUUAAAUUCCUUUGCGGCUGUAGACCAGUAAUAACCAAGAAAAUCUACAUCAUCAGAUUUUUCUGCUAGAAACUCUUUAACUAUUCCAAAAAUUAAUGUUUCCUAGCCAAGCCAAAUGUCUAGUAUGAACAUGGGAUCUGUGCUUUUUAGUAAUAUCUUUGCUUUUUUGGCACUUUUCUUGUAUCAAAGCUUAUAAAAUCUGAACUGUUAGUUCUACCAGAUGUUUUGCAUGAGUAAUUCGUCCAUAGUUCUUAUAUUCUAUUUUAUAUAAUAAUAUACAGCCAAAAUCAGGGUGGGUCCUUUUAUAAGCUUAAAUCUCCCUUUCCCAGAAAUCUCUCUAGUUUCCACGUUAUUCCAACCUGUUUUUGUUUUAUUAGGGCCUAACAAUUUGUCUAUUCAGUGCAGCUAUGGUUAGAUAUAACUAUGUCUAGCAAGUUAAUGGCAAUUUGUUUAGAUUUGUAUUUGUAUUUUUGCUUAUUGUUUUUGGCAAUUUGUCUCCUUUCUCAUUUUGUUUUCUAGUGCACUUGUUUAACUCUUUACAUGGAUGCUAAUUUUUUUAAACCUUGAUGUUAGGGAGAUGAAGUGCCUCCGCCUCUUACAUCAUUUGAAGAUACCGGUUUUCCUUCUGAGAUUCUGAGAGAGGUAUGGACUUCCAUUUUCUUUAUUUUUAAUAUCUGCACGCAAUUCUUCCAGGCCUGGUUUCUUGUAAGUCAGCAAAGCUAUAAGUGUUUUUGGUGCAAAGUUCUGUAUUGCUGAAGGUCCAAUGUUGAGUUUCAGAUUCGUUAAUACUUUUGCCAUCUGUACUUUUUGUCGCAGGUGCGAUAUUUGCUCCUGGGAGGAGCUAAUGUCGUACGCUGUGGUGCCCUCUCUUUGGGGGCCUUGCAUAUAAUUUGGUGCGCCCUUAUUUGGUCAACCAUUUUUGUGAAGAGCUUUCCGAAACACCCAAGUUCGUGGCUGGGACUGCUGUUGGUGAUGGUUUAGUCUGCCACUCGGUCCAGACGGAAGAAGAGGCCUCCUCAUGCUCCAGCUUGCAUCAGCAAGCAUUUGCCGACUGCAUAUGGGGGAUGAUGCUUCUUCUGCCAUUGCCACUGCUCUAUAAGCCUAAAAGAAAACCAACCAGAAAUCUUGAAGCCAGUAUUUUGGCUUAUGGGAGUUGCUGGCUUUUUGCUUUUCCAGGUACACAAUGCAGGGUUCUCUGCCCCAACUCCAAUUCAGGCACAAUCAUGGCCAAUUGCUUUACAGAGCAGAGAUAUAGUUGCCAUUGCUAAGACAGGUUCGGGUAAGACUUUAGGUUACUUGAUUCCUGGGUUUAUGCAUCUCAGGCGCUGCCGUAAUGAUGCACAACUGGGUCCAACUGUGCUGGUAUUGUCACCAACAAGAGAGUUGGCAACACAAAUACAGGAUGAAGCUGUGAAGUUUGGAAAGUCAUCAAGAAUUUCUUGCACGUGCUUGUAUGGAGGAGCACCAAAGGGUCCCCAGUUGAAAGAACUAGACAGAGGUGCAGAUAUUGUGGUUGCCACUCCUGGCCGUUUGAAUGACAUUCUUGAGAUGAGGAGAAUUAGCCUCAGCCAAGUUUCUUACCUUGUACUAGAUGAAGCCGAUCGCAUGUUGGACAUGGGUUUUGAACCCCAGAUAAGAAAGAUUGUAAAAGAGGUGCCUGCUCGUCGCCAGACUCUCAUGUACACUGCAACUUGGCCAAAGGAAGUUCGGAAAAUUGCAGCAGAUCUACUGGUCAAUCCUGUUCAAGUUAAUAUUGGCAACGUGGAUGAGCUUGUGGCUAACAAAUCAAUCACACAGUAUAUUGAAGUGUUGGCACCCAUGGAGAAACACAGAAGGUUGGAACAGAUAUUACGGUCUCAAGAACCUGGAUCAAAGAUUAUUAUUUUUUGUUCAACAAAAAAGAUGUGUGAUCAACUUGCACGCAAUCUUACCCGCCAGUUUGGAGCUGCUGCUAUCCAUGGAGACAAAUCUCAGGGUGAGAGGGAUUAUGUUCUGAAUCAGUUUCGCACGGGGAGGUCUCCAGUGCUAGUAGCCACUGAUGUUGCUGCUCGAGGACUGGACAUUAAAGACAUCAGGGUGGUCAUCAAUUAUGAUUUCCCUACUGGAGUGGAGGAUUAUGUUCAUAGAAUUGGGAGGACUGGGAGGGCUGGUGCUACUGGAGUUGCUUACACAUUCUUUGGUGACCAGGAUUCUAAGUAUGCUUCAGAUCUCAUCAAAGUCCUGGAAGGGGCAAACCAGCGGGUCCCUUCAGAAAUUCGUGAUAUGGCUUCUCGUGGUGGUGGAAUGGGCAGGCCUAGGCGUUGGGGUUCUGGUCCUAGUGGACGUGAUGGGGGCCGUGGUGGACGAAGUGACUUUGGUUACGGGGGAAGGGAAGGGGGAAGAGGUAGUUGGGGAUUGUCUAGUUCCUCUUCCAGCAGGCCAGAAAAAGGAGGUGGCCGUGGAUAUGAUUAUGAAUCACGAGACAGGUGCAUGGCUAUUUUUAUUACGUUCUGAGUUUUCUGAUUGUGAUUUGGAUUGCCUCUUGAAAGAAAAGUGACUUUACAACUAUGCAAAGAAAUCGAAGAAUGUUUUGAGCCUCUCUUUCUCUAUCUGUUUUGAACCUCUCUCUCUGUCUCUCUUUUCUUGUUCUUUUUUGGAGGGGGAUGGGGUUGAAAGGGUUUAGCUGGUGGAGCUUAUUAUUCCACUGCCAUUUCUUGUGUUUAAUUGAUUUAUGGAGUAGCACCACUAUUUACCUUUUCAUGAGAACAAUUUAUCCUGUUUUGCCCCCUAAAUUAUUCUACUGUAUUUAAUCUUUAAAGUCUGUAUUGUAUGGCUUUUAAUCUGAAUUUUUAUUUUUCUUGAUAUCAUCAGAAUAUUUCCAUUCCUUACCUUGUUGAAGUUGUAUCUGUGAAAAUGGAAUUGUAAUCUAUGCUAUUGCUGCUGUUCUUUUUAUUUUGAAUAUGUGAACAUGGGUUUGAACCUAGAAGCUCUCUAUUAUCGCGAUGGUUAAAUGUUUAUUUCACUGUUGGAAAUGGCUUCUGCUGUGUAUGGACAGGUAUGAACGAGGAUACAGUGAUAGCUAUGAUAGAGGCCGUAGUCGCAGUCGAAGCCCUGAUAGGGGAUCAAGUUGGGUUGACCGCAGUAAGAGUUGGAAUCGUGAUCGCAGUCAGAGUCGAAGCCCUGACAGGGUUCCACUCACACGUGAACGGUCUCCAGUCCGCAGUUUUCACCAGGCAAUGAUGGAAAGAGCUCGAGCAACCUCACCAGCACAAAACCAGCGGGAGAGGUCAAGAUCCCCAUAUGGUGGCGGCAACAAUUCUCACAAGGUGUCCACUCGUGAGUGGUCUCCAGGCCGCAGUUUUCACCAGGCUAUGAUGGAAAGAGGUCGGGCAAUGACGGAAAAAGGCCGGUCGUCGUCAUUUGGUGCUCAGCAGGAUCAAGGAAGAUCUCCUGGAAGUAGACACGAGGGAAGAGGAUAUAAUAAUGUGCCUCAAUCUCGUUUUGGGGAGGAAGAAGAGGAAGGCAUGAUUCCUGCUGAUGAAGAUGGCAUGAUACCACCAGAUGAUGAAGGAAUGUAUCGAGGGGCAGAUGGAAACUCCCAUCGUUCAUAGAUCAUACCUUAUUGAUGGUUUGACAUGUCUCAGGUGCCAUCUUCAUUUUUGUUUUUUUUUUUGUUUUGGGGAAGUAUGGUUAAGUGUUAACAGGGGAAUGGAGGUGGUGAGUAGUAACUAGUUGAUUUUUGGUGAUACUCCUCUUAGUUUGAAGGGGUAAAAGAACCUAGGGAGGUGCAUCCUUUUGUCACUAAUUCCGUUUGUUUUUGGGGAAAAUAUGGAAGUGUAUGUAUCACAAGGAUGAAAUGUGGUAUAAAGAUGAUGGAUGCUUAUAUUAUGAUAAUGUUUGUCGUGUUACG
rnacentral:misc_RNA from 1 species